GAGGGGGUGCUCUGAAAGGUUAUAGGGACUAACUGUAACUUAGUUGGAUGAUUCCGUUGGGGGUUCGAAUCCCUCCCCCCUCA
rnacentral:tRNA from 1 species